rnacentral:rRNA from 1 species
CGACGUGAGUAACCUGCCUCAUACAGGGGAAUAACAGUUAGAAAUGACUGCUAAUGCCGCAUAAGCGCACAGGGCCGCAUGGCCCGGUGUGAAAAACUCCGGUGGUAUGAGAUGGACUCGCGUCUGAUUAGCUAGUUGGUGAGGUAACGGCCCACCAAGGCGACGAUCAGUAGCCGGCCUGAGAGGGUGAACGGCCACAUUGGGACUGAGACACGGCCCAA